rnacentral:rRNA from 1 species
CCUACGGGGGGCAGCAGUGGGGGAUAUUGCACAAUGGGGGAAACCCUGAUGCAGCGACGCCGCGUGUGGGAAGACGGUCCUCUGGAUUGUAAACCACUGUCCCCAGGGACGAAGAUGACGGUACCUGGGGAGGAAGCUCCGGCUAACUACGUGCCAGCAGCCGCGGUAAUACGUAGGGAGCGAGCGUUGUCCGGAAUUACUGGGUGUAAAGGGAGCGUAGGCGAGGAUGCAAGUUGGGUGUCAAAACUACCGGACAAACUGGUAGUCGUACGCAAAACUGCAGCUCUUGAGGGAAGUAGAGGCAGGCGGAAUUGCUAGUGUAGCGGUGAAAUGCGUAGAUAUUAGGAGGAACACCAGUGGCGAAGGCGGCCUGCUGGGCUUUUACUGACGCUGAGGCUCGAAAGUGUGGGGAGCAAACAGGAUUAGAUACCCGGGUAGUC